rnacentral:rRNA from 1 species
GCUAACGUCGUGCCGGCAGCCGCGGUAAUACGAAGGUGGGAAGAGGUAGUAGGAAUUACUAGGCGUAAAGGGGAGGUAGGCGGUUUGAUGAGUCUGUUGUGAAAGCGCCCGGCUGAACUGGGAGAGGUCAACAGAUACUGUCGAACUUGAGUAUGGGAGAGGGUACUGGAAUUCCUGGUGUAGCGGUGAAAUGCGCUGAGAUCAGGAGGAACACCGAUGGCGAAAGCAGGUGCCUGGACCAUUACUGACGCUCAGCUGCGAAAGCUAGGGGAGCAAACAGGAUUAGAUACCCUUGUAGUC